UACGUAGGGACCAAGCGUUGUUCGGAUUUACUGGGCGUAAAGGGCGCGUAGGCGGCAAUUCAAGUCACUUGUGAAAUCUCCGAGCUUAACUCGGAACGGUCAAGUGAUACUGCUUUGCUAGAGUGCAGAAGGGCAACCGGAAUUCUUGGUGUAGCGGUGAAAUGCGUAGAUAUCAAGAGGAACACCGGAGGUGAAGACGGUUGCUGGGCUGACACGUGACGCUGAGGCGCGAAAGCUAGGGUAGCAAACGG
rnacentral:rRNA from 1 species